GAUGAACGCUGGCGGCGUGCCUAAUACAUGCAAGUCGAGCGAACAGACGAGGAGCUUGCUCCUCUGACGUUAGCGGCGGACGGGUGAGUAACACGUGGAUAACCUACCUAUAAGACUGGGAUAACUUCGGGAAACCAGAGCUAAUACCGGAUAAUAUCUUUAACCGCAUGGUUCAAUAGUGAAAGACGGUUUUGCUGUAACUUAUAAAUGGAUCCGCGCCGCAUUAGUUAGUUGGUAAGGUAACGGCUUACAAAGGCAAGGAUGCGUAGCCGACCUGAGAGGGGGAUCGCCCACACUGGAACGGAGCCACGGUCCAGACUCCUACGGGAGGCAGCAGUAGGGAAUUUUCCGCAAUGGGCGAAAGCCUGACGGAGCAACGCCGCGUGAGUGAUGAAGGUCUUCGGAUCGUAAAACUCUGUUAUUAGGGAAGAACAAAUGUGUAAGUAACUAUGCACGUCUUGACGGUACCUAAUCAGAAAGCCACGGCUAACUACGUG
rnacentral:rRNA from 1 species